rnacentral:tRNA from 1 species
GUUCCCGUAGCUCAGCUGGAUAGAGCGUAGGAUUCCUAAUCUUAAGGCCGUGGGUUCAAAUCCCGCCGGGAACACCA